rnacentral:rRNA from 1 species
AUUGAACGCUGGCGGCAUGCUUUACACAUGCAAGUCGAACGGUAACAGGCCUUCGGGCGCUGACGAGUGGCGAACGGGUGAGUAAUGCAUCGGAACGUGCCCAGUCGUGGGGGAUAACGCAGCGAAAGCUGUGCUAAUACCGCAUACGAUCUGCGGAUGAAAGCGGGGGACCUUCGGGCCUCGCGCGAUUGGAGCGGCCGAUGGCAGAUUAGGUAGUUGGUGGGGUAAAGGCUCACCAAGCCAACGAUCUGUAGCUGGUCUGAGAGGACGACCAGCCACACUGGGACUGAGACACGGCCCAGACUCCUACGGGAGGCAGCAGUGGGGAAUUCUGGACAAUGGGCGCAAGCCUGAUCCAGCAAUGCCGCGUGCAGGAAGAAGGCCUUCGGGUUGUAAACUGCUUUUGUACGGAGCGAAAAGGCUCCCUCUAAUACAGGGGGCUCAUGACGGUACCGUAAGAAUAAGCACCGGCUAACUACGUGCCAGCCGCCGCGGUAACAC